rnacentral:rRNA from 1 species
AUGCCCUUCGGGGCUCCUUGGUGAUUCAUAAUAACUUGUCAGAUCGCAUGGCCUUGCGCCGGCGACGGUUCAUUCAAAUUUCUGCCCUAUCAACUUUCGAUGGUAAGGUAUUGGCUUACCAUGGUUUCAACGGGUAACGGGGAAUUAGGGUUCGAUUCCGGAGAGGGAGCCUGAGAAACGGCUACCACAUCCAAGGAAGGCAGCAGGCGCGCAAAUUACCCAAUCCCGACACGGGGAGGUAGUGACAAUAAAUACUGAUACAGGGCUCUUUUGGGUCUUGUAAUUGGAAUGAGUACAAUUUAAACCUCUUAACGAGGAACAAUUGGAGGGCAAGUCUGGUGCCAGCAGCCGCGGUAAUUCCAGCUCCAAUAGCGUAUAUUAAAGUUGUUGCAGUUAAAAAGCUCGUAGUUGAACCUUUGGCCUGGCUGGCAGGUCCGCCUCACCGCGUGCACUUGUCCGGCCGGGCCUUCUCUUCUGGAGAACCGCAUGCCCUUCACUGGGUGUGUUGGGGACCAGGACUUUUACUUUGAAAAAAUUAGAGUGUUCAAAGCAGGCCUUUGCUCGAAUACGUUAGCAUGGAAUAAUAGAAUAGGACGUGCGGUCCUAUUUUGUUGGUUUCUAGGACCGCCGUAAUGAUUAAUAGGGACAGUCGGGGGCAUCAGUAUUCAAUUGUCAGAGGUGAAAUUCUUGGAUUUAUUGAAGACUAACUACUGCGAAAGCAUUUGCCAAGGAUGUUUUCAUUAAUCAGUGAACGAAAGUUAGGGGAUCGAAGACGAUCAGAUACCGUCGUAGUCUUAACCAUAAACUAUGCCGACUAGGGAUCGGGCGGUGUUAUUAUUUUGACUCGCUCGGCACCUUACGAGAAAUCAA